rnacentral:lncRNA from 1 species
GAAGUCAGGGACCAUUGUGAAGAUGGAAGAACGCCCACAAAACCCAGCUUGAGGCCUGCCGGCCCUGAGCGUCCUGCUGGCUCAGCGGUGGUGGUAACCAAGGAGUAUCUCAGGCCCAAAAGUGACCCUUCUAUUUGUGGAGAGCUAUGGCCUAACGGCCUGGACCAGCAGAUAACACAGCGCUCAUGAUGAGCUGUCAAGCUAUAACUAAGAGCGUCGGUUUAGGCAGUUCCUGAAACCGGCAGCGCCAUUUUGUAGGAACAGAGAAGCCGACCUCAAGCUGACCUCAAGGAAUCACUCACCCCGAGAAGACUUUGUUCUGAGCUGAUGUCUUCCCAGCCUGGUGCAGCCCCAGCUAUCCAAAAGAGGAGCUGUUAGGAUGAUUGGAACUUUGGUUUUUCCGAUUCACUCUCUUUCUUCUCUCCUGCCUUCUGCCUUAGACAGCAGGAGAAAAGGAAACUCAGCCUCAGAGGUGGGGUCCUUCGGAAGGACUGACAGUGUGGGCUAGCUCUCCUGCGUCUGGGAGCCUGAGUGCCUUUGGCUCCCUGUCCAGAGCUGAGCUUUACCACAGAGGUUUGCCCGCUUGCAAACAACAUCAAAACUUGCCUCUUCGCCUGGGUGUAUUCUCCCUCUUUUGUGUACAGUUUGGGUCCUCCAAACUGCUCUCCCUGUGUAGAAAGGCCUAUGGAAUUCAGGGAGCCUGGCCAGCCACCCAGGCCUUUAUAAAGGCCCUUCUAUCACAGGAUGGAGGGGAGACCCAAUAAAGACUUUGCAAAACG